GGCGAAACGCGUAGAGAAUACGUUUAUUCAAACAUUUUAAUCUUUUUUAACUCUUUGUACCGGACCAGCAGUGGACUCUGUGAGGACCAAACGACAUUUUGGAACUGUUCUACAGGGUUAUUGCCUUUGCGCUUAACCCAAAUAGUCGAUCUCAGCAAUGAACCCCAAACUGCUUUGCGUUUACUUUUUAUUUCUGAUUAUUGCAACGCUUUAUGCCGAAGAACAAUCAGAAGAAAAUGGUGGAAAUUUUGGACAGCAAAAUCAGCCAAAUUUGCCAACCCUGAAAGAAGUACAAUCGAUUUGCAGGAAAUGUAAAGCUUCCAAUUUCUCUCAUUUUAUAUCAUGCCGAAUAUGUCAAAUAGCGACGGAAAAACUAAAUUUACCACGGAAAAGUAAUUCAGAAGGAAGUAUUCCACAACGGUGAAGAAAAAACCCACUCUGAUAAAUUACUGACGUUUAAUG